UUAGUAACGCGUGGGAAUAUACCCUUCACUAUGGAAUAGCCUCGGGAAACUGAGAGUAAUACCAUAUACGCCCUUCGGGGGAAAGAUUUAUCGGUGAAGGAUUAGCCCGCGUAAGAUUAGAUAGUUGGUGGGGUAAUGGCCUACCAAGUCUACGAUCUUUAGCUGGUUUUAGAGGAUGAUCAGCAACACUGGGACUGAGACACGGCCCAGACUCCUACGGGAGGCAGCAGUGGGGAAUAUUGCACAAUGGACGAAAGUCUGAUGCAGCAACGCCGCGUGAGGGACGAAGGCCUUCGGGUUGUAAACCUCUUUUAGCAGGGAAGAAGCGAAAGUGACGGUACCUGCAGAAAAAGCACCGGCUAACUACGUGCCAGCAGCCGCGGUAAUACGUAGGGUGCAAGCGUUGUCCGGAAUUAUUGGGCGUAAAGAGCUCGUAGGCGGUUUGUCGCGUCUGCUGUGAAAUUUCGAGGCUCAACCUCGAACUUGCAGUGGGUGCGGGCAGGCUAGAGUGCAGUAGGGGAGAUGGGAAUUCCUGGUGUAGCGGUGGAAUGCGCAGAUAUCAGGAGGAACACCAAUGGCGAAGGCACAUCUCUGGGCUGUAACUGACGCUGAGGAGCGAAAGCGUGGGGAGCGAACAGGAUUAGAUACCCUGGGUAGUCCACGCCGUAAACGGUGGGUGCUAGCUGUGGGCCACAUUCCAA
rnacentral:rRNA from 1 species